UACAGAGGGUGCAAGCGUUAUCCGGAUUUACUGGGUUUAAAGGGUGCGUAGGUGGGCAGUUAAGUCAGCGGUGAAAUCUCUGGGCUUAACCCAGAAACUGCCAUUGAUACUAUCUGUCUUGAAUAUCCUGGAGGUGAGCGGAAUAUGUCAUGUAGCGGUGAAAUACUUAGAUAUGUCAUAGAACACCGAUUGCGAAGGCAGCUCACAAAAAUGUAACUGACGCUGAGGCUCGAAAGUGCGGGGAUCAAACAGG
rnacentral:rRNA from 1 species